AAAUCCUUUCAUCUCCUCCUCCUCCUCCUCCUCCUCCCUCUCUCUAUAGCUCCAUGCUGGUGGGUACCCAAUCCGUGCCCAAAAAGAGCCGUGAUUUAAGGUCUCUCCAUAUCUCUCUCAAGAAUAUUGUAUCCUCUCGAAUCAGGUACCACAAUCCCUUUUCCUCUCUGAAUCUCUCUCCAAAACCCUAAUUCGCAAAACCCUAUUCUUUCAUUUCAGGAAAAUCUAAAUCUCUCCGUUCUUAAAUCCUCUCUCUCUCUCUCUCUCUCUCUCUCUCUCUCUCUCUCCCCUAAACUUAUUAAUUCUACAUUCAUUUUUUUAAAAAGCUUUUGUGGGGAUUUUCGAUCUCUCUGUUGUUGGAAGCUGCAAUUCAAGAUACCAUUCUUCAUAAGCUCUUUAAUGGCCGAAAUGGGGCUGGAAAUUGGAAAACCUUUGCCGAUCAAGGAGAAUUGGAGCACCAAUCUCUUUACUUUUGGUGCCAUUUGUUACUAUCUUGUGGUGCAUGCAGACUUACAUGUUUAAGUAUGAUAGUGUCCAUGGGCAAUAGAAGAUCAUGAUCUCAAGGUGAAGGACUCCAAGACCCUUCUCUUUGGUGAGAAACCAGUUACUGUAUUUGGUGUCAGGUAAUUGAACUUCACAUCUCGUAUAUUUUGGAAGCUCUUUUUUAAUAUUUGAAAUGCAUAUGUGAAAGACAACCAAGGUUGUUGAGAUCUCUAUUGUUUGGAACGCUGAAGAGAUUCAAUGGGCUGAGACUGGCGCUGCAUUAUGCUGUGGAGUGAACUAGAGUGUUACUGAAAAGGACAAGGCUGCUGCCUGCAGCCCAUUUGAAGGUCUUGUUGCUGAAGACAUGUUCCACUGGCAAGCAACAAUUAUGGGACCAGCAAAUAGCCCCUUUGUAGGUGGGCCCCAUGGAAGGAUUUCCAACUAAAUGUACAUUUGUGCCAUGUGUUCUGCUGUGGGUAUAGAAUUGCAUAUC